rnacentral:rRNA from 1 species
CGGGUGAGUAACGCGUGAGGAACCUGCCUCAAAGGGGGGGACAACAGUUGGAAACGACUGCUAAUACCGCAUAAGCCCACGGCUCGGCAUCGAGCAGAGGGAAAAGGAGCAAUCCGCUUUGAGAUGGCCUCGCGUCCGAUUAGCUAGUUGGUGAGGUAAUGGCCCACCAAGGCGACGAUCGGUAGCCGGACUGAGAGGUUGAACGGCCACAUUGGGACUGAGACACGGCCCAG